UGCACCGCAGAAUCCAGAGAUGGCAUCAGUGAAGCUGGAGGACUGCAGUCAAACACUGGAGCUGAAUGUCAACAUUAAAGUUGAAGAAGAGGACGAGAAGAUUAGGACAACUGUUAGUCAUGGUUACCAUGUUGAGACAUUCUCUACAUCCAGAGAGCAACAGCAGGAAGAUCAGAGAGCUAAGAGGUCUCAUCACUGCCCACACUGUGAAGAGAUUUUCCCAUUUCUAUCAAAGCUAAAAAUACACC